CGGAGAUAACGUCUGGGAGCCAAAGAACAGGCAGAUAGUGUAGCCUGUGGGUGUGACAGAGGUACUACCACAGGUGGCGGGUGGCCAGGGCCACAUGCUAGGGGGCUCAGCAGAACCCUUCCUCCCAAACACCAGGCAGGGAGCUAGAUGAGCCAGCAUUCACUCCAUCCGAGCAGGAGAGCGGCACUACCUCAGGCUGCUAGGAAACUGUCCACCAGCUCACAGGGCUGGGUGCCGGGCCUGGAGAGGGAAUAACCAAGAAAACAAAGGCACAUCAAGAAGGACUAUUUUCAUGUCAAUGCCUGUGUUUCCUGGAACACCUCCAAACUCCAAAUCUGAGUCUUUGUCUGAAGGUGGCAACAGGGAAGAGGAGCCGUGCGGGGUGGAUUCUCCUCCUUCAUACAUCUGGUUUCCUGCCUCCUGCCUUCAUACUUAUUCCUCUGUGCUGCUGUGGAUAGCUGUGGGACCUCUCACAGCACCACAGGCUUCAGGGAGCUGAAACUCAGAGAUGUCCAGCCUUCUUGUCUUAAAAUGGGGAGUGGGAGCCCAGAGAACAGAAGGGAGACCCGUAACUCUGGCUCAAGGCCCUGAUCCCUAGUUCCAGAAACACUGACAGGGCAUGGAGAUUUAAUAGGCUGUGAGUAGGUCUGUAAAACCCGGGCUUUUGCUUCUCUUGGCUCAGAAAGGGACUGGCUGAGACUUUGGGGCCAAGAAGAAAUAGGAAAGAGGAGAACCACAAGUUCUCUGGCCCACCAUGUUUCUCCUGACAAGUCCAUGGGAUAGAUUUUUCUCCCCGAACCCCAAUCCAGUAGGAAACAUGGGAUGGGUCAUUUUCAAGAGACAUGGAGGCAGGAAGGCAAGAGAAAACAUACACAUGAGUGAACGGGAGUCACCCGGAGGGGCCCCGGGGCAAACUGAAGCAAACCAGCAGCUUCAUCAGUGAAAGCGAAGAAAUCCAAUCCACAGAGUGGGAUUUCUGGCUUUCCCAUUAGGUCCUCUUCAAAAUCCCACUUGUGGUGCAGCUCUCUCAGCCUGCCACAGGGGGGCUUUCCUGGACGCCCCUUCACUUUUUAGCCCAGUGUCUUUGUACUGAUUUCCUUCUCCAUCUCUAUGACAACUUCUUGGAGACGGGAAAUUGUUUUUAUUCUCAAGCUUACCUAGAUAGUAAUAAUAACAAAUAAGUAAAAUAAAGAUUAUCCACAUAGUAAGAAUAAUAAAUGAUGACCUCAAUACAGGUUAUCCAGAUAGAAUAAUAAAGACAUAAAAUAAAUAAAAAUUAGCCACAUAAUAAGAAUAAUGAAUAAUGAAAUCAAUAAAGAUUACCCAGAUAGUAAAAAGCACAACUUGGGACCUA